rnacentral:tRNA from 1 species
CGGGGCGUAGCGCAGUCUGGUAGCGCACCUGCUUUGGGAGCAGGGGGCCGGAGGUUCGAAUCCUCUCGCCCCGACCA